AGGGAAGGACCCGCGGGGUGUUGGGUGGAAAGAGCGGGUAUAGACAAGCUGGAAGGUCCUUAUGCAUGUAUGCACAGGACCGGGCGUGAGGCCCCGAGACAGGGCUUGACCUUCUUAAAAGCCGUGGGAGAGAUCCUUCUACUGCCUGGUUGGAUUGCUGUGUCAGAGGACAGCGCCGUGGUACUGAGUCUAAUCCACACUAUUGACACCGUCAUGGGCCACGUCUCCUCCAACCUGCACGGCAGCAUGCCCCAGGUCACCGUGGAGGGCUCCUCUGCCAUGGCAGAGUUUUCCGUGGCUAAAAUCCUGCCCAAGACCGUGAAUUCCUCCCAUUACCGCUUCCCGGCCCACGGGCAGAGCUUCAUCCAGAUCCCCCACGAGGCCUUCCACAGGCACGCCUGGAGCACCGUCGUGGGUCUGCUGUACCACAGCAUGCACUACUACCUGAACAACAUCUGGCCCGCCCACACCAAGAUCGCGGAGGCCAUGCAUCACCAGGACUG
rnacentral:sRNA from 1 species